AUACUUACCUGGCAGAGGAAAGGCCAUGAUCAAGAUGAUGGUUUUCCCAGGGUGAGAUUUAUACAUUGCAUUUAGGAUUUGUUGACCCCUGCAAUUUCCCCAAACAUGGGGAAAUUUGGCUGCAUGAUUUGUGGUAGUAGGGGACUAAGUAUACACUUUCCUCUG
rnacentral:snRNA from 1 species